rnacentral:rRNA from 1 species
AUUGAACGCUGGCGGCAUGCCUUACACAUGCAAGUCGAACGGUAACAGGUCUUCGGAUGCUGACGAGUGGCGAACGGGUGCGUAAUACAUCGGAACGUGCCCGAUCGUGGGGGAUAACGAGGCGAAAGCUUUGCUAAUACCGCAUACGAUCUACGGAUGAAAGCGGGGGAUCUUCGGACCUCGCGCGGACGGAGCGGCCGAUGGCAGAUUAGGUAGUUGGUGGGAUAAAAGCUUACCAAGCCGACGAUCUGUAGCUGGUCUGAGAGGAUGAUCAGCCACACUGGAACUGAGACACGGCCCAGACUCCUACGGGAGGCAGCAGUGGGGAAUUUUGGACAAUGGGCGAAAGCCUGAUCCAGCCAUGCCGCGUGCAGGAUGAAGGCCUUCGGGUUGUAAACUGCUUUUGUACGGAACGAAAAGCCUCUUUCUAAUAAAGAGGGGUCAUGACGGUACCGUAAGAAUAAGCACCGGCUAACUACGUG